rnacentral:rRNA from 1 species
UACAGAGGUCUCAAGCGUUGUUCGGAAUUACUGGGCGUAAAGGGCGCGCAGGCGGCCUUAGAAGUCAGAUGUGAAAGCCCCGGGCUCAACCUGGGAAUGGCAUUUGAUACUCUGAGGCUGGAGUACGGGAGAGGAGAGUGGAAUUCCCAGUGUAGAGGUGAAAUUCGUAGAUAUUGGGAAGAACACCGGUGGCGAAGGCGGCUCUCUGGACCGUAACUGACGCUGAGGCGCGAAAGCGUGGGGAGCAAACAGGG